rfam:Polaromonas naphthalenivorans CJ2 plasmid pPNAP01, complete sequence.
CCUCCCGUGUCACCUCCCUGCACGGGACGCGUUUACGCGUUUCAAACCCGGCCUGCGUCGGGUUUUUUUUC